UAAAGUUAUUAUUAUUAUUAAAAUUAUUUUGGGUCUUAUAUGCGACUAAAUUGAGCGGUAUUUGGUCAAAUAGGAAAUCAAAGUCGAUUUUUUCUUCAAUUCUUUUCCCCUUUGUCGGUUUGUUUAGGUGGAACAAAACCUCAACCCGGCCUUCCUCCUUUACCUCAACAUUUCUCCCAAACCCGGGAAACCCAAAACCCAACCCUCUUCUCUCUCCUGAUUUCCCUUGUAUCUCUCGCUGGUGAGCUUCGUUGCUGCCACCACCGGUCCUCCAGCCACGCCGAUGACCCAUGCUGCACCACCAGAUGGCCAGUGUCACCGGAGCCUGUUUCUUCUCUCUCUCCCCUGCUUUGUUCGCGGCUAUGCUUUGAUGUGACGCACCACCAGUUGCUUGCUGCCGCAGCUCCGCCUGACUUGAGUCGCCUCACCGCACGUACUACUGCUCGCCGGUGCUCAGUCGCCUCGCCGAGCGCCCCCAACCACCAGACCGAUAACCAGCCUUGUCGAAGCUUCGAAAAACCCUUUUAUCCCCUGUUCUUCGCUGCUCCCAGUAGAGCAGAGGUUUGGUAUCAAGAGCUCGAGAAUGGAAGUGAAGCAAGAUUAUGAUGUCGUCCUAGAUUAAGGAUUGAGUUUGUAUCUAGAUAGUUGAUUUGAGAACAGUUAUUUAUAUUUCGUUGUAUAUAAUAUUUGAGAAUUUACUCGAGAUAUUUGUGUUUUAUUUUAAGGAUUUUGUUUUGUGGGUCCAUAACCCACAGGUCCAGGAUCAAUUUGUAAGGUUAUGUUUCCGCUGCGAGUAUAUAUUUAAUUCGAGGCUUAUUAAGCGUUGAUUGUGA